rnacentral:rRNA from 1 species
AGAGUUUGAUUCUGGCUCAGAACGAACGCUGGCAGCGUGGAUUAGGCAUGCAAGCCGAACGUGAAUCCGUGACUUCAACCCUUCGGGGGAGAAGAUGCGGUGGAAAGUGGCGGAAGGGUGAGUAACGCGUGGGCAACCUGGCUCCGAGUUGGGGAUAACCUCUCGAAAGGGGGGCUAAUACCGAAUGUGGUCACUCCGUGCAGGCGGAGAGGACUAAAGGUGGGGAUCCUUCGGGACCUGCCGCUGGGAGGGGGGCCCGCGUCCCAUCAGCUUGUUGGUAGGGUAACGGCUUACCAAGGCUUACGGGUAGCUGGUCUGAGAGGAUGGUCAGCCACACUGGGACUGAGACACUGCCCAGACUCCUACGGGAGGCUGCAGUCGAGGAUCAUUUACAAUGCGCGGAAGCGUGAUAAUGCGACGCUGCGUGGGGGGUGAAGGCCCUAGGGUCGUAAACCCCUGUCAUUCGGGAAAAAUAGGGCGGGUGCCAAUACCACCCGCAUUUGAUGGUACCGGAAGAGGAAGCCACGGCUAACUCUGUGCCAGCAGCCGCGGUAAUACAGAGGUGGCAAGCGUUGUUCGGAUUUACUGGGCGUAAAGGGUGCGUAGGUGGCUGCGUGUGUCGGAUGUGAAAUCCCGCUGCUCAACGGCGGAACUGCAUUCGAAACUGCGCGGCUUGAGUGCAGGAUGGGAGAGCGGAAUUCUCGGUGUAGCGGUGAAAUGUGUUGAUAUCGAGAAGAACACCGGUGGCGAAGGCGGCUCUCUGGAAUGUUACUGACACUGAGGCACGAAAGCUGGGGGAGCAAACAGGAUUAGAUACCCUGGUAGUCCCAGCCGUCAACGGUGUGCACUUGGUGUGGGGGGUAUUGACCCCCCCCGUGCCGGAGCUAACGCGUUAAGUGCACCGCCUGGGGAGUACGGCCGCAAGGCUAAAACUCAAAGAAAUUGACGGGGGCCCGCACAAGCGGAGGAGCAUGUGGCUUAAUUCGAUGCAACGCGAAGAACCUUACCAGGGCUUGACAUGUAGCUGCACGCCUGCCGAAAGGCGGGAAGCCUUCGAGGGUGCUACACAGGUGCUGCAUGGCUGUCGUCAGUUCGUGCCGUGAGGUGUUGGGUUAAGUCCCGCAACGAACGCAACCCCUGUGGUUAGUUGCCACCCCCGAUUAUUCGGGGAGCACUCUAGCCAGACUGCCCGUACAAGCGGGAGGAAGGUGGGGACGACGUCAAGUCAGUAUGGCCCUUACGUCCUGGGCUGCACACGUGCUACAAUGGCCGGUACAAUGGGAAGCAAUGUCGCGAGGCGGAGCAAAUCCCCAGAGCCGGUCCCAGUUCGGAUUGGAGUCUGCAACUCGACUCCAUGAAGUUGGAUUCGCUAGUAACGGCGUAUCAGCUACGACGCCGUGAAUACGUUCCCGGGCCUUGUACACACCGCCCGUCACAUCAUGAAAGCCGUCUGCACCCGAAGUCGCUGGGCUAACCCGCAAGGGAAGCAGGUGCCGAAGGUGUGGGUGGUGAUU